rnacentral:lncRNA from 1 species
UACUAGGCUAGUGUAGUUUAUUUAAUAUCAUUGGAAGUUUUUGUUAUUGUACUUAAUAUGGGAGUGAUUCGUUUGAAAUGCCACUUAGGAGCUCACAGUCCACUGGGGAAGAGAAGCAGUUAGCAAAGCAUUCUAAUACAAUGUGGAAAGUCGAUAAUAGAGAGAGGAAUAAAGCGUCUUGGCUACAUUAAGAAGGGAAUACUAACCCUGCCUGAGGGAGCCUAGAAGGACUUCACUGAGGAAAUAACAUAUGCAUUAAUCCUUGAAGAAUGAGCAAUAAGUAGCCUACCAGGCAGAUAAUUUCAUUUAAAAAAAAAGAUUUUAUGCAUGGAGAGAGAAACACCAAAAUUAUGAAAAUGCAAGAGAGAAUAGCAUGUCUGGAGACUAAUAUCCUACAAACUUCAUCACAUGGUGAUGUGAAUAGUGAAAGAGAUUAUAGGAUUCUUCAGACUUCUGAUAGUGUCCAGAUUACUUCCAGUUGUAAGUAAUUUCCAGCAGAAUCUACAGCAUUUAUUCUCAGAACAGGAUGUGG